UACGGAGGGUGCGAGCGUUGUCCGGAAUCACUGGGCGUAAAGGGCGCGUAGGCGGCGCGGAUAGUCGGCGGUGAAAGCCCGGAGCUCAACUCCGGGUCGGCCGUCGAUACUUCUGGGCUUGAGCACUGUAGAGGCAGAUGGAAUUCCGGGUGUAGCGGUGGAAUGCGUAGAGAUCCGGAAGAACACCGGUGGCGAAGGCGGUCUGCUGGGCAGUUGCUGACGCUGAUGCGCGACAGCGUGGGGAGCAAACAGG
rnacentral:rRNA from 1 species